rnacentral:rRNA from 1 species
GAUGAACGCUGGCGGCGUGCCUAAUACAUGCAAGUCGAGCGAACGGACGAGGAGCUUGCUUCUCUCAUGUUAGCGGCGGACGGGUGAGUAACGCGUGGAUAACCUACCUAUCAGACGGAGAUAACUUCGGGAAACCGUAGCUAAUACCGUAUAAUAUUCUGCACCGCAUGGUUCAAAAGUGAAAUACGGUCUUGCUGUCACUUAUAGAUGGAUCCGCGCUGCAUUAGCUAGUUGGUAAGGUAACGGCUUACCAAGGCAACGAUGCGUAGCCGACCUGAGAGGGGGGUAGGCCACCCUGGAACUUAGACGCCGUCCAUGCUCCUACGGGACGCAGCAGUAGGGUAUGUUACGCAGCAGGCGAAAGCAUGACGGAGUGACGCCGCGUGAGUGACGGAGGCCCUCCGAUCGUAAAGCCCUGUUACUAGGGAAGAACCUAUGUCUACGUAACUGUGCACAUCUUGACGGUACCUGAUCAGAAAGCCCCGGCUAACUACGUG